UCAGGGUAUGGCUGAGUUAGCCAAGCAUCUCACUUACACCGAGAAGACAUCCA
rnacentral:tRNA from 1 species